rnacentral:lncRNA from 1 species
GUUUGGGGAUUGAAAUUUACCCUCAACCUGGCUUAGCCUGUUUGCCAAGGUGGUCUUAUUGGGGUAUGGCUGCUGUAUAUCCUACAGUUUUUUGAAGCCACGUGUGAGAGUCGGGUGAAAGGUGGACACCAAAGGUGGAUGAGCAGCCCUGAAAAAGGCUCAGUGAGUCCUCACUCCAGAGCUACUAGUCCUCCCUGAGCACUCCAUAGAUCUUGUAUGUGUUCAUAGUUAAAGUCUCAGUGGUGAUUACCUUCCUUGUGUGUUUUUUCCCUUCCUGUGAGGGAGUAAGGGGAGAGCUGAGAGCUGCCUUCAAAUAUUUGAAGAGAUUUGUUCUGUUUAGUCCCAGAGGCCAGAACCAGCAAUAACAGUUGGAAAUUGCAGACUCAAAAUUUAGUCUUGAUGUCAGGAAAAACUUUCCAACAAUUUGGUUGUCCCAAAAUGGAAUGGUCAGCCUGGAGAAGUGAUGGAUUCCUCUUCCUUGGACUUCUUCAAGAAGAUUGUUGACGAACUGGAUAUGUUAUAGUGAAGAUUCCAUUCAUGUAUGGGUAUGGCUCCUGGAGUCUCUCUCUUCCAUCUCUUAAUUUCUGGGAUUCUCAAAUAAGGCUUAGAAAAUCGUCAAAGAAGACUUCCUGGAAGAGAUGAGACUGGAGGGGAAUCUUAAAAUAUGUAACAGGAAGUUUCCAUAUGGAGAGAGAGGAAUGAGUGUUCAUGGGACACUGGUCAUGUUGGUGGGACAAGGACCUGACUAAUGCCAAGGUCACCCUAUCCACUGUAACACGGAACUGCCCCUCAUCAGAGAUCUGCUUUAUUGGAACACUAUGGACAAGAGUGGAUCAUGGCCAGGCAUGAAGAGGAAUGGAUCUCAUUUUUGGUGAGAAAACCUUGUAUUCUAUAUUUUCUUAGCUGACACAGUGUGUCAAUGAUUAUAAACUAUAUUUUUAUUUUUAAAACUUUUAUUAUAUUUUUCUUGCAUGUGCAAUAUACUAUUUCAGUCUUUUGUUAAAAAAAAUUAUGGGACUUUGCUUAAUGAUGCUGUCUGAUUCCAGGACAAGAUAUACAAAAGAGCCAUUGCACAGGGCCAAAGAAGCACAAAGCUAAACCUGAAUCGUGCCAUAAGAGCACACAGGUCAAAAAAAAAAAAAAGAGAAACCAAUCCAGGAAAGAUUGAUGCACUUCCAAGCCAAUACAAAGGACUUGAAUCUAGUGUGAAGAUUCAAGGUUGUGAUGCUUAACAUACGUUAAGACGUAGGCCUUCCUUGAAUUCAAACUCUGUGAAAAUACUUACAGAUGAGUAUCUCAAAUUUGGCUCCUACCUGGCUCUUAUAAUCUGGUCCCUAUCUGUCUUUAAUAGUGUGGCAACUUUCUAUAGUCCUGGCUACUGACUGGAUAAAUGCUUACUUGCUUAUAUCAUUUUAAUUGGGCCCUGAUUCAAGGACCUGUUAUAGAUUUAUCUUUCCUUUACUUAGAAUUUUUAUACACAAGACUUUGAUAGUCUAUAUUUCAUCCAGAAAUUAUCUUUUAUUUUUAUUUUUUCUGAUUUUUUUAUUUCUCUUGCCAAUUGAUUCAUAUAUCUCAUAACUCAGCCAUGCAUCCCUACAUGAUCCCUGUGUUUUUCAAUCACCCUCUUCAGGGGGGUAUGUAAAAAUGUAAAAUUUAUUAUUAUUUUAAAUUGCAAAGUUUAAAUUCCUCGAGAGAGAAAUUUUAGGUUAAGAAACAUGCUACAAAUCCAGAAACUGAACUGUUUGGAGACGACACCACGAAGCUGCCUCCACAGACCACAAGCUUCAUGAGAAAGAUCAAGAAUGAAUUUUGGGUGUGGUUGAUUGAACAUUUAAUUUGUAUGUAUACUUUCAUGCCAAAGGGGACUGCCCCUUAACUGGCUUUUUGUCAGUGUACCUAGCAAUUAUUAGUUUUGUUCUCUUUUCCUUUUAUCCACAAAUUAUUGCAAUCUUUAAGAUGAUUAUGUAUUCAUGAUCCUUUGGGGAAACUUUUCCCAAUAGGAUCAUGGGGGGUGGGGGGUGGGGGUGGAUGUAAAAACGGAGAUUUGAACCCUAGACUUCAAUCCCCAGAAGUUCAUGGUACUUCCCAGAAUUCCCUAUAAUCUCACCUGAGUCUCCACCUGGGGCGAGAUCACAAUUUAGUAUUUAAAGGGCUCUCUGCCUCCCAAGAGCUCUCUUCCUCUACCUGGAGAUGACAAGAUGUAGCAAGUAGAUUGUGAAUGGGCUAAUCAGCCUAGGCACGUGGUUUUUUCUAUUUUGUAUUUUCUUUAUCCUUAAUUCUAAUAAUCCUUAAUAAAUCUCAUAAAAUAUAAUACCUUUUUUUUUUA